UACGAAGGGGGCUAGCGUUGUUCGGAAUUACUGGGCGUAAAGCGCGUGUAGGCGGGGCUUUAAGGCAGGGGGGAAAUGCCAAGGCUCAACCUUGGAACUGCCUUUGAUACUGGAGAUCUUGAGUCCGGGAGAGGUGAGUGGAACUGCGAGUGUAGAGGUGAAAUUCGUAGAUAUUCGCAAGAACACCAGUGGCGAAGGCGGCUCACUGGCCCGGAACUGACGCUGAGACGCGAAAGCGUGGGGAGCAAACAGG
rnacentral:rRNA from 1 species